CCGGAAGAUAUUUUUACUUACAACAACAGCUUGACGCAGCUAACAAAUGCGCUGAGGAGCCCUGUCAUCAGAAAUCAAUGAAAGGACAUUGACGUUACGACAAAGAUAACGCUUUCAUCAGUGGACAUUCAAACUUAAUUCCAAACGAUGAGGAUGAUGAGGAGAACGCCGAAGGACACGCCCACCACAGCGCCAGCCACUACACCCAUCCCCCGGAUAUCUACAAAAGAGCCAAAACACCACAACUCUUCCUGUUUUAUAAGAUGUUAUGGUGUUUGCUAAGCUGAUUGGAUCAGAACCAUCUGUGGACUUGCAGCUCAGUCUGACAUCACUUCCUUCCAGCAGACGACCCUCCAUCCAACAGCGUGGUUUGGAUGGCUUUACUACAUUGCAAAACAGAAAACACACAAUGUGACUGCAGGCGACACUUUGAUGGCAGGAAGAAUUCUCUAAUCCCUUCCUGCUGCUGACGAGAUUCCAGCUUGUGGCAUCAACACCCGUGAACGCUACCUGAUGCCCUGGUCCCUGCUACGCUGCCAUCCAAUCCACAGGGUGCUUGGUAUACGAAAAGAAAGGCGGCACAACAAAAUACAAAAUACUUCUUGAGGCAGGGAUUGGACUCCUGUCUUUACUUUUUCUGGUUUUCAGCUGGGCCUCUGGAGGCUGAUGAGCAUCUCAUUUGGAUUGGAGGUGUUCAAGCAGGCGAUGACACUCAUGUGAAAAAGCUCAUUAUCUCCAGCUGAACACCACAUGUGUCAAUCACUCUAGGUGACAUGCAGAGAAAACAACAAGAUCAUCUGCCUCACUGCUGGUACACACUGAACGCAAUGUGACAAGGAACACAAGGAACUGAGUGUUAUAAUCAAACUUUUGCCUUAUGAACUACAUUAGCUCCACAGGUUAGCUUAUACUGUAAAAGCUUCACAUGCUCGCUUUUAAUCCAAACUAAAUUAAACUAAU